GACGAACGCUGGCGGCGUGCUUAACACAUGCAAGUCGAACGGAAAGGCCCUGCUUUUGUGGGGUGCUCGAGUGGCGAACGGGUGAGUAACACGUGAGUAACCUGCCCUUGACUUUGGGAUAACUUCAGGAAACUGGGGCUAAUACCGGAUAGGAGCUCCUGCUGCAUGGUGGGGGUUGGAAAGUUUCGGCGGUUGGGGAUGGACUCGCGGCUUAUCAGCUUGUUGGUGGGGUAGUGGCUUACCAAGGCUUUGACGGGUAGCCGGCCUGAGAGGGUGACCGGCCACAUUGGGACUGAGAUACGGCCCAGACUCCUACGGGAGGCAGCAGUGGGGAAUAUUGCACAAUGGGCGGAAGCCUGAUGCAGCAACGCCGCAUGCGGGAUGACGGCCUUCGGGUUGUAAACCGCUUUCGCCUGUGACGAAGCGUGAGUGACGGUAAUGGGUAAAGAAGCACCGGCUAACUACGUGCCAGCAGCCGCGGUGAUACGUAGGGUGCGAGCGUUGUCCGGAUUUAUUGGGCGUAAAGGGCUCGUAGGUGGUUGAUCGCGUCGGAAGUGUAAUCUUGGGGCUUAACCCUGAGCGUGCUUUCGAUACGGGUUGACUUGAGGAAGGUAGGGGAGAAUGGAAUUCCUGGUGGAGCGGUGGAAUGCGCAGAUAUCAGGAGGAACACCAGUGGCGAAGGCGGUUCUCUGGGCCUUUCCUGACGCUGAGGAGCGAAAGCGUGGGGAGCGAACAGGCUUAGAUACCCUGGUAGUCCACGCUGUAAACGGUGGGUACUAGGUGUGGGGUCCAUUCCACGGGUUCCGUGCCGUAGCUAACGCUUUAAGUACCCCGCCUGGGGAGUACGGCCGCAAGGCUAAAACUCAAAGGAAUUGACGGGGCCCCGCACAAGCGGCGGAGCAUGCGGAUUAAUUCGAUGCAACGCGUAGAACCUUACCUGGGUUUGACAUGGAUCGGGAGCGCUCAGAGAUGGGUGUGCCUCUUUUGGGGUCGGUUCACAGGUGGUGCAUGGCUGUCGUCAGCUCGUGUCGUGAGAUGUUGGGUUAAGUCCCGCAACGAGCGCAACCCUUGUUCACUGUUGCCAGCACGUUAUGGUGGGGACUCAGUGGAGACCGCCGGGGUCAGCUCGGAGGAAGGUGGGGAUGACGUCAAGUCAUCAUGCCCCUUAUGUCCAGGGCUUCACGCAUGCUACAAUGGCUGGUACAGAGAGUGGCGAGCCUGUGAGGGUGAGCGAAUCUCGGAAAGCCGGUCUCAGUUCGGAUUGGGGUCUGCAACUCGACCUCAUGAAGUCGGAGUCGCUAGUAAUCGCAGAUCAGCAACGCUGCGGUGAAUACGUUCCCGGGGCU
rnacentral:rRNA from 1 species